rnacentral:rRNA from 1 species
UACGAAGGGGGCGAGCGUUGUUCGGAAUUACUGGGCGUAAAGGGCGCGCAGGCGGCUCUGAAAGUCAGAUGUGAAAGCCCCGGGCUUAACCUGGGAAUUGCAUUUGAUACUCUGGAGCUUGAGUACGGGAGAGGAGAGUGGAAUUCCCAGUGUAGAGGUGAAAUUCGUAGAUAUUGGGAAGAACACCGGUGGCGAAGGCGGGUCUCUGGGCAGUAACUGACGCUGAGGAGCGAAAGCGUGGGGAGCGAACAGG